rnacentral:lncRNA from 1 species
GCAGAGGCCGGGUUUACCAGGGGGAGAUCAGUGGCCAACAGAGGCCGGAGAGACCAGUGGGGCGACAAUGGAGGUUGGGGAGACCGGUGGGGUGAUGUAGAUCGAGGAGACCGAUGGGGCGAUGCAGACUGGUGGGGCUACGGAGACUGUUGGACCGUCGACGGAGAUGGAAGCACUGGGACCUACCUGCUGCCGGCAGCGGGGGUGCUGUCGUUGGAGGGCGGUGAGGUCUGUAAGUCUGCUGACCUUUUUCGCAUGCUUUUCACCCAACCUUCAAAGACCCAGGCCGCUCUCUCCGAAGUAUCCUCCUCGAGGCCUCCAAGGGCAGUGGAGACGGAGGCGGAUCCAUCUUCGGAGCUUGGUGGGUGAGCUUUCACCGAGCGGAGCCGAGGCCCACAAUUGCAACUUUUUUUUUUUAUUUUCUUGGCAACCAAACAAAACUUUCGAUGAAUUCUUGGAGUAAUUCUAGAUGGUGCAG